AUUUAAGUAGCUUAAAUUUAAAGUGUAAUAUUGAAGCUAUUAAGAUAGGAUAUCCUCUUAAAUA
rnacentral:tRNA from 1 species